rnacentral:rRNA from 1 species
UACGAAGGGGGCUAGCGUUGCUCGGAAUCACUGGGCGUAAAGGGUGCGUAGGCGGGUCUUUAAGUCAGGGGUGAAAUCCUGGAGCUCAACUCCAGAACUGCCUUUGAUACUGGCAAUCUCGAGUUCGGGAGAGGUGAGUGGAACUGCGAGUGUAGAGGUGAAAUUCGUAGAUAUUCGCAAGAACACCAGUGGCGAAGGCGGCUCACUGGCCCGAUACUGACGCUGAGGCACGAAAGCGUGGGGAGCAAACAGG